AGUCAGUACAGUUUACCGAUGUCAGGUAGGAUCCACUGCGGAAGGAUCAUUACAAAUAAAGCUGGUAGGAAGUGGGGUCUUGGUCUGUAAGUGGUAGAGCGAACAGUCCGGCUGCCUCCCGAAAUGUCUUACAUGUCCCCCCACAGCCUGAAGGCCGAAUUACAACCCUCGAUUAUCUACACUUGUUGCUUUGGGGUGCUCAAGUGCCCCAGAGGACCCAACUCUCUUGCAUUUAGUGACGUCUGAGUACUAUAUAAUAUUUAAAA
rnacentral:misc_RNA from 1 species